rnacentral:rRNA from 1 species
UGGCGGACCGGGUGAGUAUGAAUCGCCUAAUGUACCCCGGACUCCGGGAUAGCUGCCCGAAAGGGCAGGUAAUACCGGAUGAGACCACAGGCAGGCAUCUGCCGGUGCUCAAAGGUCCGCCGGUCCGGGCACAGGCGAUUUCGUAUCAGCUAGUUGGUGCCGGGUAACGGCCCACCAAGGCGAUGACGCGUAACUGGUCUGAGAGGACGGCCAGUCACAUCGGGACUGAAGACACUGCCCGGACUCCUACGGGGGGCUGCAGUAACGAAUCUUCCCCAAUGGGCGCAAGCCUGAGGGAGCNACGCCGCGUGUAGGACGAAGUCCUUCGGGAUGUAAACUACUGUCAGGGGCAACCAAGUUCUGAGGUUGCCCCCAGAGGAAGAGGCGGCUAACUCUGUGCCAGCAGCCGCGGUAAUACAGAGGCCUCGAGCGUUAGGCGGAAUCAACUGGGCUUAAAGCGCGUGUAGGCGG